AGCCGGGGUGGUAGCGGUACCCUGAACCUGCAGUCCGCUAUAGCAGGGGUGAUGCUGUGCCGAGGGCUUUUGUCUGUCUGAAGCUGCCCUUGUCCAGUGGCGUUGAUAUCCGGGUCUUACGCGGCAGAACUCUGUGAACCGUGUCAGGUCGGGAACGAAGCAGCACUAAGCAGAAUCUUCUGGGUGCCGUAAGGCAGCCUGGGUUGAGUUUGCUGGCAAGGUAACGUUCAGGUG
rnacentral:SRP_RNA from 1 species